UGGAUGAAAUAUGAAGUUUUAUUAAAAGAAAAAGGGGUGAAAAGAACAAAGUUUUGUCCAUCUUUGUUCAUCAUAGCUGAAAGUUAGAGAAGAGAAAGGAGAGGAGAAAGCUCUUGAGUAUUUGGUCAUUAGGAGGAGGAAAAUUGAAGGCGGUUCGUGUGUGGAUCUCGUCAGCAUAUCGUCGCAAAUAGGUAAUCCCCAACCAUAGUGGGCUUGGACCUAUGAGGGAAUUCGGAGUGGCCACCCGUUCUGAAAGUUUGAUUUUCUUCUGGUGAACUAGACAUCCUUUUAUUUACGUUUGAAGUUUUUAGGCUUUUAAAUGUAAUAAGGCCGCUUAUUUAUUUUUGAUGGUUUUUAAUAUGUAUUACUAAGAUAGGUAAUACUUAUUUUAACUGUUGAAAUUGGAUAGCUUUAGGGCGCGUUUUCAAAAACAACAGUUGAUUUCAAAAUAACACGACAACAAGCAAAGCUUCCGCAAUGAAA